rnacentral:rRNA from 1 species
GACGAACGCUGGCGGCGUGCCUAACACAUGCAAGUUGAGCGACGAACCAGGGCUUGCCCUGGGGCAAAGCAGCAAACGGGUGAGUAACACGUGGGUAACCUGCCCCGAUAACCGGGACAACCCGAGGAAACUCGGGCUAAUACCGGAUGUGCUCGCCGGACACCAGUCCGGCGCGUAAAGGAAGCUUCGGCCUCCGUAACGGGAGGGGCCCGCGGCCCAUUAGCUAGUUGGUGAGGUAACGGCUCACCAAGGCCGCGAUGGGUAGGUGGGCGGAGAGGACGAUCAGCCACACUGGGACUGAGACACGGCCCAGACUCCUACGGGAGGCAGCAGUGGGGAAUCGUGCGCAAUGCGCGAAAGCGUGACGCAGCAACGCCGCGUGGGGGAAGAAGGCCUUCGGGUUGUAAACCCCUUUCAGGAGGGACGAAGGUUCGGCGGUGAAUAGCCGCCCGGACUGACGGUACCUCCACAAGAAGCCCCGGCUAACUACGUGCCAGCAGCCGCAGUAACAC